rnacentral:rRNA from 1 species
UCCUACGGGGAAGCAGCAGUAGGGAAUAUUGGACAAUGGGCGCAAGCCUGAUCCAGCCAUGCCGCGUGAGUGAAGAAGGCCCUCGGGUUGUAAAGCUCUUUUGUCCGGAAAGAAAAGCAUUCGGUUAAUACCCGGGUGUUCUGACGGUACCGGAAGAAUAAGCACCGGCUAACUUCGUGCCAGCAGCCGCGGUAAUACGAAGGGUGCAAGCGUUACUCGGAAUUACUGGGCGUAAAGCGUGCGUAGGUGGUUUGUUAAGUCUGAUGUGAAAGCCCUGGGCUCAACCUGGGAAUGGCACUGGAUACUGGCAAGCUAGAGUGUGGCAGAGGGUAGUGGAAUUCCUGGUGUAGCAGUGAAAUGCGUAGAGAUCAGGAGGAACAUCCGUGGCGAAGGCGACUGCCUGGGCCAACACUGACACUGAGGCACGAAAGCGUGGGGAGCAAACAGGAUUAGAUACCCUGGUAGUCCACGCCCUAAA